GUAUUUGCUAUGAAACACAAUAAAGUAAAAAAAAUUGAAAAUUUGUUUGCCCAGGGCGAGGCUCGGCCAUUGCACAUCCGGUCGUGCUGACCCCUGCGAAUUCCUCAAAUGUGGGAAUCUCGACUGCACAAUUUCUGGUAGUGGGGGACUGCGUUCGCGCUCUCCCCUG